AGGGAUACCCUUUUCAAUAAUUCAAACAGCCGCUUAUCAUGGAUACUUCACAGAUGCGUGUCAUUGUAUUAAUAUUAACAGUUAUAUUGACUUUGUUAGGUGUUUCCGGUGAAAAAUACUUUCAUUACACAUCAAUAGCUAGUGGCGAUGCCAUUAAAAAAUCGGGAUACAUUCAGAGUUCAUCUUCAGGAGCUGCAGGAGAAGGAGUAUAUCUGACUAAGAUGUCACCUUUUAAUUAUGAAGCGUCAAGAAUUGCCGCAAAUAAUUGGCAGAGCCAAUCAAUUACAAGAACAAAACGAGUAUUUGAAAUAGAAAUUUCAUCAGAUGUAAAAAAUGCUAAUCUUUAUCAAAGAGAUGUUUACAUUUGUACAAACGGAGAUUUAGAACUCGAGGAUAAAAGUUGGGUAUACUAUGACUGGCCUUCUGGUGUUAAAGGAAAAUUGACAGUUUUAGCAAGUGGAACACAAUUUCUCCAGUUUAGCAGUAGUUUUACGAUGAUUUGUUGUCUCAUUAAGUUUCUUUGCAUAAUUUUUGAUAACAGUUAUUUGUUUACUUUCAACACUUAAUUUUACAUCAAGAUCAGAAAACAAACAAAAAAAGAUUUGCAGUGUUCGCUUUAUUCUCAUACAGUUUAUAUUAGAAAAAAAAACACAUACUAGACUUAAACUUUACAUGUUGUAAUUGUUUAUAAGCACAUUAUUUUCAUUUUACCUCAAGUUAGAGUUAACAUUAAUUUGUCAUUUUCAUAUAAACUUAAUACCAGUUUAGUCUUUUUAUUUGGUAUAGUUCAGUAUUCAAAUUUACAUAAUUUAGUAUACUAAUAUCCAGAAUAACAACAAGUUCUGUACAUUCAAAGAUCGGAAUGCAAACUAAUGGAACUAAGUAAGCUCCAAUUGUAGUGCGUCAAUUUGAAUUUGCCAACAAUUUGUGUUCAUUACUUAAAAUAUUUUUCAGCAGGAAUAUAUAUAUAUAUUUAUAGAGGUUAAUUAUGGGAGUAUGAUUCCACCUGCAGGAAUUUGAUAACAGUCGUGUUUCGCAUUACUUUUCUACGAUAAUUUUUAAUAUAAAGCUAACGAGUUAAGAAAAAGUCUUUGACUUAUCGAUAAUGGUAAUAAUCAUACUGUUGAUGUUCAAUAAAUACGUGUUUUAUCUUUUGUGAAUAGCGUUGACUCGCUCAAUUAUCAUUUAAAGAAAAAAAUAAAGUGUCCUUUGGCUCUCUGUAAAGUUUACAUGCUUUGUGCUUUGCACAGAUCAUGUCUUCCUAUGCUGGUUAUGACGUUAAUGUAUGAAAUCGUCUUUAAAGUACAGCUACCGACAUAAAGACGCCAUGAUUUCAUACCAACAUGAAAAGUACUUUAUGCUUGAUUUUAGCAACUGAGAACAUUCCUAAGUACGGUAUAAAUUGUUGAUUUUU